CCUCACCCUCCUCCUUCCUCCUGUUCCUCCUCAUAUCGCGUCUCCUCCUCCUCAUCAGUAAUAUCAUCCUCGUGGUAAUGAACAAGGUCUCCCUCCCAUCCAGCGCGGGACGGCAAGCAGCGGGGAGGGAGGCGGAGGCAGGACAGGAUAAUUGGCGCGGCUGAUCCCUCUCCACGUGCACCCACGAGGCAUCACCAGAUCGGUCCACAACUGGCCCUCCACUUCCGAGGAUCACCGUCGUCGAGGUCUGCUUUUUGACUCCCUGCGGUCUGUCGGUGUUAAAUGUUCCUCGACGGUUCUCCUCCGUGCUGUUAUGCUUCCUUUGUUCCUACCUGGGCCACUGUUGAUGGUAAGUGUUCCUUAUAAAUUUGUUAUUUUUACUGAUUCAUAAUAUCUCUGUUCCCCAAGUCCCCACCUCUGUAUCCCCUUAACGUUGCCACACUCUUAGCUCUUAUCCUUUUUUUCCUGUUUUCGUAUAUCUUUUGUCUCAGGAGUAAAGGUAGGUAAUUUUUCACUCCGCUUACUAAAUCCCUUUAAAAAAUCCUCUUGGUAAUUGCUUUAUUUUUAACAUACAGACGAACUGGAAAUGUUUUCUUGUGAAGAUUACCCUGUGUGUGUGUGUGUUUCUUUACCUGUACUUUUCUCCCUCCAUUUUCUUGCCUGUUUGUCUUUCCUCUGUUUCCUUGUCUGUUUCUCCCCGUCUGCAUGUCUGUUCGUUCGUCUGACUGGCAUUUCGUCGCUUGUUUGUGUACCUCUCUGCCAGUCUGUCUGUCUGCCUGUAUGUCUGUGUGUUUGUCCCUCCCUCCGUCCACCUGUCUGUCUGUCUGGCUGGCUCUCCUCGUCACCUGUUUACUGGAUGUGAUGGUGGCGCCGCUGCCUCAUCCGCUUCGUUACGGUGAUUCGCCUGUGACGGGAUGCUAACGUGAUUAUGUUGGCAUUGCAUUACCCGCCGUGUUUGUGUUCCCGCCGGCAGGUAACAGGUUAGUGGGUCAGGCUAAGAGUGUUACCGUUAAGCCUGUACUGAGCACCCGCCCCGCCCCGCAUAACUCCCCAACCCCACUUUGACCCCAC